GGGUUGUGAGGUUAAGCGACUAAGCGUACACGGUGGAUGCCCUGGCAGUCAGAGGCGAUGAAGGACGUGCUAAUCUGCGAUAAGCGUCGGUAAGGUGAUAUGAACCGUUAUAACCGGCGAUUUCCGAAUGGGGAAACCCAGUGUGUUUCGACACACUAUCAUUAACUGAAUCCAUAGGUUAAUGAGGCGAACCGGGGGAACUGAAACAUCUAAGUACCCCGAGGAAAAGAAAUCAACCGAGAUUCCCCCAGUAGCGGCGAGCGAACGGGGAGCAGCCCAGAGCCUGAAUCAGUAUGUGUGUUAGUGGAAGCGUCUGGAAAGGCGCGCGAUACAGGGUGACAGCCCCGUACACAAAAAUGCACAUGCUGUGAGCUCGAUGAGUAGGGCGGGACACGUGGUAUCCUGUCUGAAUAUGGGGGGACCAUCCUCCAAGGCUAAAUACUCCUGACUGACCGAUAGUGAACCAGUACCGUGAGGGAAAGGCGAAAAGAACCCCGGCGAGGGGAGUGAAAAAGAACCUGAAACCGUGUACGUACAAGCAGUGGGAGCACGCUUAGGCGUGUGACUGCGUACCUUUUGUAUAAUGGGUCAGCGACUUAUAUUCUGUAGCAAGGUUAACCGAAUAGGGGAGCCGAAGGGAAACCGAGUCUUAACUGGGCGUUAAGUUGCAGGGUAUAGACCCGAAACCCGGUGAUCUAGCCAUGGGCAGGUUGAAGGUUGGGUAACACUAACUGGAGGACCGAACCGACUAAUGUUGAAAAAUUAGCGGAUGACUUGUGGCUGGGGGUGAAAGGCCAAUCAAACCGGGAGAUAGCUGGUUCUCCCCGAAAGCUAUUUAGGUAGCGCCUCGUGAAUUCAUCUCCGGGGGUAGAGCACUGUUUCGGCAAGGGGGUCAUCCCGACUUACCAACCCGAUGCAAACUGCGAAUACCGGAGAAUGUUAUCACGGGAGACACACGGCGGGUGCUAACGUCCGUCGUGAAGAGGGAAACAACCCAGACCGCCAGCUAAGGUCCCAAAGUCAUGGUUAAGUGGGAAACGAUGUGGGAAGGCCCAGACAGCCAGGAUGUUGGCUUAGAAGCAGCCAUCAUUUAAAGAAAGCGUAAUAGCUCACUGGUCGAGUCGGCCUGCGCGGAAGAUGUAACGGGGCUAAACCAUGCACCGAAGCUGCGGCAGCGACGCUGAUGCGUUGUUGGGUAGGGGAGCGUUCUGUAAGCCUGCGAAGGUGUGCUGUGAGGCAUGCUGGAGGUAUCAGAAGUGCGAAUGCUGACAUAAGUAACGAUAAAGCGGGUGAAAAGCCCGCUCGCCGGAAGACCAAGGGUUCCUGUCCAACGUUAAUCGGGGCAGGGUGAGUCGACCCCUAAGGCGAGGCCGAAAGGCGUAGUCGAUGGGAAACAGGUUAAUAUUCCUGUACUUGGUGUUACUGCGAAGGGGGGACGGAGAAGGCUAUGUUGGCCGGGCGACGGUUGUCCCGGUUUAAGCGUGUAGGCUGGUUUUCCAGGCAAAUCCGGAAAAUCAAGGCUGAGGCGUGAUGACGAGGCACUACGGUGCUGAAGCAACAAAUGCCCUGCUUCCAGGAAAAGCCUCUAAGCAUCAGGUAACAUCAAAUCGUACCCCAAACCGACACAGGUGGUCAGGUAGAGAAUACCAAGGCGCUUGAGAGAACUCGGGUGAAGGAACUAGGCAAAAUGGUGCCGUAACUUCGGGAGAAGGCACGCUGAUAUGUAGGUGAAGUCCCUCGCGGAUGGAGCUGAAAUCAGUCGAAGAUACCAGCUGGCUGCAACUGUUUAUUAAAAACACAGCACUGUGCAAACACGAAAGUGGACGUAUACGGUGUGACGCCUGCCCGGUGCCGGAAGGUUAAUUGAUGGGGUUAGCGCAAGCGAAGCUCUUGAUCGAAGCCCCGGUAAACGGCGGCCGUAACUAUAACGGUCCUAAGGUAGCGAAAUUCCUUGUCGGGUAAGUUCCGACCUGCACGAAUGGCGUAAUGAUGGCCAGGCUGUCUCCACCCGAGACUCAGUGAAAUUGAACUCGCUGUGAAGAUGCAGUGUACCCGCGGCAAGACGGAAAGACCCCGUGAACCUUUACUAUAGCUUGACACUGAACAUUGAGCCUUGAUGUGUAGGAUAGGUGGGAGGCUUUGAAGUGUGGACGCCAGUCUGCAUGGAGCCGACCUUGAAAUACCACCCUUUAAUGUUUGAUGUUCUAACGUUGACCCGUAAUCCGGGUUGCGGACAGUGUCUGGUGGGUAGUUUGACUGGGGCGGUCUCCUCCUAAAGAGUAACGGAGGAGCACGAAGGUUGGCUAAUCCUGGUCGGACAUCAGGAGGUUAGUGCAAUGGCAUAAGCCAGCUUGACUGCGAGCGUGACGGCGCGAGCAGGUGCGAAAGCAGGUCAUAGUGAUCCGGUGGUUCUGAAUGGAAGGGCCAUCGCUCAACGGAUAAAAGGUACUCCGGGGAUAACAGGCUGAUACCGCCCAAGAGUUCAUAUCGACGGCGGUGUUUGGCACCUCGAUGUCGGCUCAUCACAUCCUGGGGCUGAAGUAGGUCCCAAGGGUAUGGCUGUUCGCCAUUUAAAGUGGUACGCGAGCUGGGUUUAGAACGUCGUGAGACAGUUCGGUCCCUAUCUGCCGUGGGCGCUGGAGAACUGAGGGGGGCUGCUCCUAGUACGAGAGGACCGGAGUGGACGCAUCACUGGUGUUCGGGUUGUCAUGCCAAUGGCACUGCCCGGUAGCUAAAUGCGGAAGAGAUAAGUGCUGAAAGCAUCUAAGCACGAAACUUGCCCCGAGAUGAGUUCUCCCUGACUCCUUGAGAGUCCUGAAGGAACGUUGAAGACGACGACGUUGAUAGGCCGGGUGUGUAAGCGCAGCGAUGCGUUGAGCUAACCGGUACUAAUGAACCGUGAGGCUUAACCUUACAACGCCGAAGGUGUUU
rnacentral:rRNA from 1 species